UACAGGGGGUGCAAACGUUGCUCGGAAUCAUUGGGCGUAAAGCGCACGUAGGCGGUUCGUUAUGUCGGAUGUGAAAGCCCUUGGCUUAACCGAGGAAGUGCAUCCGAAACUGGCGAGCUAGAGUACGAAAGAGGAUCGCGGAAUUCCCGGUGUAGAGGUGAAAUUUGUAGAUAUCGGGAGGAACACCGGUGGCGAAGGCGGCGAUCUGGGUCGAUACUGACGCUGAGGUGCGAAAGCGUGGGGAGCAAACAGG
rnacentral:rRNA from 1 species